rnacentral:rRNA from 1 species
CUACGGGGUGCUGCAGUCGAGGAUCUUCGGCAAUGGGCGAAAGCCUGACCGAGCGACGCCGCGUGCGGGAUGAAGGCCUUCGGGUUGUAAACCGCUGUCGUAGGGGAGGAAAUGCAGGGGGGUUCUCCCUUCUGUUUGACCUAGCCUAGGAGGAAGGACGGGCUAAGUUCGUGCCAGCAGCCGCGGUAAGACGAACCGUCCAAACGUUACUCGGAAUUACUGGGCUUAAAGGGUGCGUAGGCUGCGCGGAAAGUUGGGUGUGAAAGCCCUCAGCUCAACUGGGGAAUUGCAUUCAAAACUGCCGUGCUCGAGGGAGACAGAGGUAAGCGGAACUCAAGGUGGAGCGGUGAAAUGCGUUGAUAUCUUGAGGAACACCGGUGGCGAAAGCGGCUUACUGGGUCUCUUCUGACGCUGAGGCACGAAAGCUAAGGUAGCAAACGGGAUUAGAUACCCGGGUAGUC